GACAGAUGGGAGCUUGCUCCCUGAUGUUAGCGGCGGACGGGUGAGUAACACGUGGGUAACCUGCCUGUAAGACUGGGAUAACUCCGGGAAACCGGGGCUAAUACCGGAUGGUUGUUUGAACCGCAUGGUUCAAACAUAAAAGGUGGCUUCGGCUACCACUUACAGAUGGACCCGCGGCGCAUUAGCUAGUUGGUGAGGUAACGGCUCACCAAGGCAACGAUGCGUAGCCGACCUGAGAGGGUGAUCGGCCACACUGGGACUGAGACACGGCCCAGACUCCUACGGGAGGCAGCAGUAGGGAAUCUUCCGCAAUGGACGAAAGUCUGACGGAGCAACGCCGCGUGAGUGAUGAAGGUUUUCGGAUCGUAAAGCUCUGUUGUUAGGGAAGAACAAGUACCGUUCGAAUAGGGCGGUACCUUGACGGUACCUAACCAGAAAGCCACGGCUAACUACGUGCCAGCAGCCGCGGUAAUACGUAGGUGGCAAGCGUUGUCCGGAAUUAUUGGGCGUAAAGGGCUCGCAGGCGGUUUCUUAAGUCUGAUGUGAAAGCCCCCGGCUCAACCGGGGAGGGUCAUUG
rnacentral:rRNA from 1 species